UAAACCAUGCACCGAAGCUGCGGCAGCGACACUAUGUGUUGUUGGGUAGGGGAGCGUUCUGUAAGCCUGCGAAGGUGUGCUGUGAGGCAUGCUGGAGGUAUCAGAAGUGCGAAUGCUGACAUAAGUAACGAUAAAGCGGGUGAAAAGCCCGCUCGCCGGAAGACCAAGGGUUCCUGUCCAACGUUAAUCGGGGCAGGGUGAGUCGACCCCUAAGGCGAGGCCGAAAGGCGUAGUCGAUGGGAAACAGGUUAAUAUUCCUGUACUUGGUGUUACUGCGAAGGGGGGACGGAGAAGGCUAUGUUAGCCGGGCGACGGUUGUCCCGGUUUAAGCAUGUAGGCUGGUUGUCCAGGCAAAUCCGGAUAAUCAAGGCUGAGGUGUGAUGACGAGGCACUACGGUGCUGAAGUAACAAAUGCCCUGCUUCCAGGAAAAGCCUCUAAGCAUCAGGUAACAUCAAAUCGUACCCCAAACCGACACAGGUGGUCAGGUAGAGAAUACCAAGGCGCUUGAGAGAACUCGGGUGAAGGAACUAGGCAAAAUGGUGCCGUAACUUCGGGAGAAGGCACGCUGGUGUGUAGGUGAAG
rnacentral:rRNA from 1 species